AUGCGUGAACAGAUUGCGAGGCUGGACACUACAGCAAAUAGGGAUGUGGUGUUUUGGGGGUUGAGUAAGAAUGCAAAGUAUUCCACUAAAUCUAUGUAUAAAUGGCUGGAAAAACCUCUUUAUGGGUGCAAUUAUAAAUGGAUCUGGGAAGCAAAACUGCCUCUCAAAAUGCAGAUCUUCUUAUGGGAAAUGGCACAAGAUGCGGUGCUUACCAGAGAUGUGAUGAGAAGAAAAAAUUGGCGGGGGAACCCUAUGUGUUCCUUCUGCAACAAUGUUGAAACAACAUCUCAUCUGUUUUUCUCUUGUCCUGUGGCACGAGUAGCUUGGAGGGCAAUUGGAUUAGUCCUGGGGACUGAGCUCUGCCCUAACAAUUUAUGGCAAUUCUAUGUGUGGUGCAAUAUGUUCUUGCCUAAUGGAUCUAGAUUCUACACUGUCGGCCUAGCCGCUGUAACCUGGCCACCUGGGCUAUAUGGCUGGCACGUAAUAGAGCUACCUUUGAGAAAAAGUUGA
rnacentral:rRNA from 1 species